AUUGAACGCUGGCGGAAUGCUUUACACAUGCAAGUCGAACGGCAGCACGGGGGCAACCCUGGUGGCGAGUGGCGAACGGGUGAGUAAUACAUCGGAACGUGCCCAGUCGUGGGGGAUAACGUAGCGAAAGUUACGCUAAUACCGCGUACGAUCUACGGAUGAAAGCGGGGGACCGCAAGGCCUCGCGCGAUUGGAGCGGCCGAUGUCAGAUUAGGUAGUUGGUGAGGUAAAGGCUCACCAAGCCGACGAUCUGUAGCUGGUCUGAGAGGACGACCAGCCACACUGGGACUGAGACACGGCCCAGACUCCUACGGGAGGCAGCAGUGGGGAAUUUUGGACAAUGGGCGCAAGCCUGAUCCAGCCAUUCCGCGUGCAGGACGAAGGCCUUCGGGUUGUAAACUGCUUUUGUACGGAACGAAAAGGCUUUGGUUAAUACCUGGGGCUCAUGACGGUACCGUAAGAAUAAGCACCGGCUAACUACGUGCCAGCCGCCGCUGUAA
rnacentral:rRNA from 1 species